rnacentral:lncRNA from 1 species
UGUAUAUUCUCCGAACCCCGAAACAGCGGUACAUAAGAAAAGUACAUAUAGAUUCACAUAAUAAUAUAAUCAGCGAGGGAGUUUAGUUUUACGCAAUAUUCAAGCUAUAUGGCUGGGCUGUAAGUAAUCGAUUCUGGACGAGACAACCCAGUGAUCAACGGCUGAUACUACAGUUGUCACGUUAAUUUCGAUACUUGAGAAUACAAAGUAAGGCUCGAUACACUCUACCUGCUCAAGUUGAUCAACAAAGAACUGUUUCAGUUAUAUCAGAAUUUAUUCAACAUUAAAUUUUCUCUGAAAAAGGAGUACCUUGAAACAUAUAUAUUGACCUGGGCCUCCUUAUACAUAUAAAAGUAUAUAAAAAACUACAAAACAUCGGUAGCGGGUUUAACGCCGUAUUGAACGGUAUUCCAGUUGUAUCCAAAAGGAUGAAUGAGUGAAUGAGUGAGUGGGUGUAUGAGUGAGUGAGUGAGUGAUUUGGGUUUAUCGUCGUUUUGAACGGCAUUCCAAUUGUAUCCCCAGGGAGAGAGUUAGUGAGUGGUGAGUGAGUGAGUGAGUGAGUGGGUGAGUGGGUUAAACGGCGUUUUGAACGGUAUUCCAAUAGUAUC